AGGAUUGGCUGUCACAGUUGUGGUUGAGAAAGAGAAGAUGCGGGCUAUGAUUUGAUUGAGUCCUUCAUACUAUUCAUACGCCAAUGCUAUUUGAAGGUAAUGCCCUCCACCAGAUUCCAGCACAAAGGCCUGCCUACACACUGAACAGAUGCUUGCAGUCUCUAGAACCAUAAACCAAAUAAACUUGUAUUCUUUACACAUUA